AAGCAUGUCAAAAGGACAUUUUCUGAUUAAUUGUUUGUAUCUUUCCCAAGCUUCAUAGAGGGAUUCUUCAUCCUUUUGUCUAAAGGUUUGGACUUUCCACUCUAAGCUU